AGGUACAUCUGAAUGAAUUAUGGUAUUGUGUAAUAUCUAUCAUUUACGUUCCAAGGUUUUCAUGUGUGUCCCAUAAAAAUCCUGAAGAGAAUUUAAGGGUACAACUAAUUUAUCGCUGGGUUUUAUGUUGGUGCAUCGAUUCUAUCUUGUUUUGCUGCCUCGCUGAUAAGUACCAUGCAUCAUUGAAUGGACUUGCAGGUAUUUCAUGAUUUGUUUCUAUACACAUAUGUUACCUUAGAGUACAUAUAAAGUUAAUACAAUCGCUUUUAGUCCAUGAAAAUCUGCAUCCAUGCUUACACUUCUUAUAUGCAACGAUGUUCAAUAUUUUCUAUAAAGCAUGGCCGUGCCUUUUUUUGGAUAAUUAUGCUGAUGUAAUAUGGUCGUUUUGCAUCUCAACAAAGUUAUCUAGCAAUAGCCAACUGCAUCUGAACACAGCAGCAAUAUUGUUCUUUUGUCUCAUAGUUUAAUUACAUGCUCAACUAUAUUUCACUUCAUUAUUUUCCAUCUACAAUGACACUUCAAAUAACAGUGGCCUUAUACUGUUAUGUGUUCUAUUUUCGUAGAGUCUUCUGGUCUAUUCCAGAAGUUAGAAAGCCCCUCUGCAUAGUACGUUGCUGGAUUGUGUUUCUAAACUCUUCUAUUUUAAGCUCUGAUUUCUUGUUUGGGUUAGACAUGUAGAAAUAGGAAGUAACUACCCAAUCCGUGGUGUAAUAUGUAUUUUGUUGCAAAAUGCAAAAUUGCCUCCUUACAUUUGGGGAAAGACUUACUGUACUACAUUUUAUUUUAACUGGUUCAUCUAUCCAUUAAUUAGAAGAGUAUCCAUGUUGGUUUUGUAUUCCACAUAUUUCUAUCAGCUGCAUUCAGAGGUGCUGAAUUCCAUCCAGAUCAUCUAGGCUGAAUUUGUCACGCCAAUGCACUGCAAGUCCUAAAAAAAGAUAUAAACCAAAUGUUAGAGCUUUUGUUGUAAAUUCAGAUGACUUGAGUUCUGCAGCGGGGUGAUAGUAUGUAGGUCUGGGGAUAAUGGAGCCCUCGGUUUGACGGAUGAGGACGGUGUCAGUCAUGCGUUCGCGGCUCUGGCCAAGUUUGCGGUACCGCUAUUUUCUGAAUGGUACUAACAUCAUGUCCGGUAAAAAGGGUGGACGUGGUUUCUUUAUGUUACCAGGCACUUGCACUACGAGUUUGUUGUGGUGUGAUUGCUGAAUUUAUAAAUGUUAUUCUGAUGGCGAAGCUUCAUGGAGGCGGCCACCGGUCUUUCUAAUGGCAAAGAAGAGGAAGGGGCAGGUCCUCGCGAUGCCAUAUUAGGGCCCAAGCCCAGGUGCAUCGCUCAAGUGAUUCUCCAGGGAAGAACAGAUGAAACCAUACAUGAGGACACCAACGCGUAGGAACAUGCCCUCAUAGCAUGCUUCGUUUCUUUCUUAGUCCCAGGAUUGGGGGCAGUGGCCAUGCCUGCGGCCUUCCCGUUGCGGUCCCUAGGACGAGGUCGCCUAAGGCGACUUCCAGUGCGGAGCACGCUGCAAGUGGUGGCGAUGAUUUUGCAGAGCUUUGGCUCAAGCCAUCGCAUCUCUUUUUGGUGGUGUCCUUUCUUCAAGAAGUUAGCCGUGCGGAGCAUGCUGCAAGUGGUGGCGGAGAUUUUGCACAUCUUUUGCUCAAGGCAUGGCAUCUGUGUUUGGUGGUGUCCUUUCUUCAAGCAGCUAGCCCCAUGACCACUUCUAUUGUUAGAGAGAUGGCUGGAGAAAUGGCCCAGGAAAUCAGCUUUUGUUAGACUUGCUGGUGAAGGAGAUUUGUCCCAUCAAUUUAAGGCUAUCAUCUGCAACAGGUGUUGGAGCACAAACCAAGCGAGAUCUGUUCUGUAGCAAUUUCCAUUCUCAAAUAGGUGCUGUGAUUCAUCUUCCUCUGCAACUGUCCUCGUUUCUGAUCCACGAGGAUGCGUGUACGCUCGAUCCCAGGUGUGUCUCUCCCUCUGUUCACACUUUAUGCUUCACGGUGUUUGUUGAUAGUGUCCUUAGGUACAACUAGGUCUCCAAUCCUUCAUGAAAGAGAAAGUUUUUUUACAAAAUGGGUAGCAAUUUCAAAGAUCUCCAGAGGCGAAACAGCAGGCAGAUCCUUUAACAUGUCUAGGCAUAGUCAGGCAGAUCCUUUAACAUGUCUAGGCAUAGGGUAUGUUAUAAGCUACUAUCCCAUUGUGUGAAAAUUCAGGUAUGCUAAGCUGCAGAGUUAGCUGUUGGUUCUCUGCACUUUUUUCUAGAGUUAUUGUACAAGCGGGAGAAUAUACGUGAUGAAAAAAUAUCUCAAACAACAACCACUUUGCUAAUGUUAUUUCAGUAUAAAGAAAUUUCAUAUUUACCAGUAGCUUCUUCCCACCUUAUCAUGUCUUUUAAAUAAACAUGAGAAAUCAAUUCAAACUGAUUGAGUUAUAUCUAUAGCCAUAGUACCACUUUGCACUCCCCAUCACUAAAUCCACGAAGUGCAUACCUUUGCCAGAUUGUACACAAUGGCCACUUACUCCCGUUGUGGUGCGUGCACAUGUGCAUGCCACACCGCUUGGUGUUGGUGUGGCUUUGAUAGGUGUAUGUGCCGCACCAUUUAGGCAAUGGUAGCUAUUUUCCUGUAUUAUCCUUAAAUUCGUAUGGGUGGCGUCAAGCAUUAUUUUAGUUUUAUCUUUGCUUACGUAUAUGGAGUUUUAGCUAAAUUGAGAUUUCUAUUAUAAUUACUUUGCAAUUUCUGCAGUUUAGUCAUUAGUAUACUUCCCUCAUUAGUUCGGAUAUAAUGUGGAGGGUUUUUUUUUUGCUAUGCACUUUUGGUGCUCUGAUAUCUACAGAUUCUGGUUACAAUAAUAACCCUCAUUAGUUCGGAUAUAAUGUGGAGGGUAUAUUUUUUUCUGUGCACUUGUGGUGCUCUGAUAUCUACAGAUUCAGCUUACAAUGACAAGCUGGUCGACCAUGCCAGUAAGGUCAAAGCGACAAGUUUAAGGAAACAUUGUGGUAAUGUCCUUCUUUCAUUUCAUGUCGUCUAUUUUGUUUAAUUCAUUUAUUCAUAGAAUUUGGGUGUUUAAUGAUGGGUCUUAAAAAUUAUUGGACGGAGGAUAGGAAAGUAUAACAAUAGUCACGUGUCCAGGUAAGGAUGAGUGAGUUUGGAGUAAGAAAAAAAUGAUGUUCUGAAAAUGAAAUGCUGUUGCCAGGAGUAUACCCUGAUUCUUCUUUUAUGUGUGCUGCAUUUUUUCAUCUAUUUUGCUCGUUCCCCACUAUUUCAUGCUACAUUUUCUCUUGUCAGUGUACAUGAGCUUAGUUUGCUCUUGCCUGUAUGGAUGUAUGUAUUGGCUUGGUUCUGCAUACAGUACCUUAUUUGCCCUUUACGGUUGUUCUUAUGUAUGUGAAAGCAGAAUAUUGACGACAUCUCUUCACCUUUCAUAGUAAAGGAAAAUCCGUUAGUCCGGUAAUUUCUUAGUUAACAUAAUUGCAGAUUGUAGAUUACCUUUAGUUGGCUGAAUUGUCUAAUUUGUAGUUAUAUGCAUCCUAUGCUCAUCCAGUGGCACAUAUGACUACUUUUGACAAGAGUCCUUGAAGAAAGAUGAAGUGGUGGCCACUGGUCAACAAUGUCUGCUGCAAGGGUUGUGACCUAUGUAUAAAUUUUAUGUGUUUAUUAUGACUUGCUAGCGUACAUGUAAAUGCACCCUUACAUGACCAGUGGUUAUGUCAUAUAGAGCCACAUGUAAACACAUCUUUACAAGAUUAGUUGGUCACUUUAUGCCAAUAUACACGUGCUUCCAUUGUAUCUAUCUAAAAUACAAAAACUCAAGUGAAUCAUAUGAUGCUUAAGUGCUUAACCCAUACAUGACAAUGAUUUCAGUUUUAUCGGUUGAUCACUUUUUUUGCUUUCUUUUUUAGACACUUUUUUACUUUCUGCUGCACUUUUAACAGCAGUACAACCUGCUGCACAAUAGAAGGUAAUGAGUAGACCGCCUCCGCUCAUAGCGUACAAGGGCGUUGUGCUAAGGUUAGUCGAUGUC